UACGUAGGGGGCAAGCGUUGUCCGGAUUUAUUGGGCGUAAAGAGCGUGUAGGCGGCCAGGUAGGUCAGCUGUGAAAACUCGAGGCUCAACCUCGAGACGUCGGUUGAAACCACCUGGCUAGAGUCCGGAAGAGGAGAGUGGAAUUCCUGGUGUAGCGGUGAAAUGCGCAGAUAUCAGGAAGAACACCCGUGGCGAAGGCGGCACUCUGGGACGGUACUGACGCUGAGACGCGAAAGCGUGGGGAGCGAACAGG
rnacentral:rRNA from 1 species